rnacentral:snRNA from 1 species
GUGCUCACUUUGGCAGCACAUAUACUAAAACUGGAAUGAUACAGAGAAAAUUAGCAUGGCCCCUGUGCAAGGAUGACAUGCAAAUGUGUAAAGCAUUCCGUAUUUUU